rnacentral:rRNA from 1 species
UACAGAGGUCUCGAGCGUUGUUCGGAUUCAUUGGGCGUAAAGGGUGCGUAGGCGGCGCGGUAAGUCGGGUGUGAAAUCUUGGAGCUUAACUCCGAAACUGCAUUCGAUACUGCCGUGCUUGAGGACUGGAGAGGAGACUGGAAUUUACGGUGUAGCGGUGAAAUGAGUAGAUAUCGUAAGGAAGACCAGUGGCGAAGGCGGGUCUCUGGACAGUUCCUGACGCUGAGGCACGAAGGCCAGGGGAGCAAACGGG